UAAAUAUUCAUAGGUAACGGUUGGGCAUGCGUCCUAUUAGAUAGUUGGGGGGGUAACGGCCCACCAAGUCGAUGAUAGGUAGGGGUUCUGAGAGGAAGGUCCCCCACACUGGUACUGAGACACGGACCAGACUCCUACGGGAGGCAGCAGUGAGGAAUAUUGGUCAAUGGGCGAGAGCCUGAACCAGCCAAGUCGCGUGAGGGAUGACUGCCCUAUGGGUUGUAAACCUCUUUUGUAUGGGGGGAAUAAGCUUUACGAGUAGAGUGAUGACAGUACCAUACGAAUAAGCAUCGGCUAACUCCGUGCCAGCAGCCGCGGUAAUACGGAGGAUGCGAGCGUUAUCCGGAUUUAUUGGGUUUAAAGGGUGCGUAGGCGGCAUUAUAAGUUAGUGGUAAAAUAUUGGGGCUUCACCUCACUACGCCAUUAAUACUGUAGAGCUAGAGAACAGACGAGGUAGGCGGAAUAAGUUAAGUAGCGGUGAAAUGCAUAGAUAUAACUUAGAACACCGAUAGCGAAGGCAGCUUACCAGACUGAGUCUGACGCUGAUGCACGAGAGCAUGGGUAGCGAACAGGAUUAGAUACCCUGGUAGUCCAUGCCGUAAACGAUGCUCACUGGCCUUAGGCGAUAUAU
rnacentral:rRNA from 1 species